CCUACGGGAUGCUGCAGUGGGGAAUAUUGGACAAUGGGCGAAAGCCUGAUCCAGCCAUGCCGCGUGUGUGAAGAAGGCCUUCGGGUUGUAAAGCACUUUCAGUGGGGAAGAAAGCCUUGGGGCUAAUACCCUCGAGGAAGGACAUCACCCACAGAAGAAGCACCGGCUAACUCCGUGCCAGCAGCCGCGGUAAUACGGAGGGUGCGAGCGUUAAUCGGAAUUACUGGGCGUAAAGCGCGCGUAGGCGGUCUGAUAAGCCGGUUGUGAAAGCCCCGGGCUCAACCUGGGAACGGCAUCCGGAACUGUCAGGCUAGAGUGCAGGAGAGGAAGGUAGAAGUCCCGGUGUAGCGGUGAAAUGCGUAGAGAUCGGGAGGAAUACCAGUGGCGAAGGCGGCCUUCUGGACUGACACUGACGCUGAGGUGCGAAAGCGUGGGUAGCAAACAGGAUUAGAUACCCCAGUAGUC
rnacentral:rRNA from 1 species